ACUAGACUAAAACUGUUCAGCUCCUAAGUGACAAUCUGGAGUGCCUAGAAUUUGGCUUAAUGAUUAUUUGACUUUUUGAAGCCUCCUUUCUUUAUAAUAUAAAUUUAUGAUCUUAUCACUUAUGGAUGAACCUAUAACAGCAUUAUUCUAUUUUAAGUGAGUCAACCAAAGGAGAGGGCUUCAGGAGACGACAAUAAUGGAAGAAAUACAGAUGGAUACUUGAAUAUGAAACUGUUACUGUGUGAGGAAAACAAACAAGCACAUACCAAGUCGUUGAUGCUGAUCAUUAGGACGUGUUGAUACUCUCUGCCCUCUUUACCUUCAAUGUCACAAUCGGACGAUGCUACUGGCAACAGAACAAGGAUCAGGGGAGGAAUUCCAAAGAUAUACCUAAAAGAAACUAAAUUGAACAAUGCACCUGCCCCGGUGAGACCUCAAAGAAAAAUAAUCCUGUGGGCGCAUCUAAUCUGGCAUUCAUUAACCUCUCAGGACUGGUCAUCCUGACCCUGUAACUGGAUGGAGCCAUGUGACUAAUCUUCGCCAGUGAAUUGUGAAGGGGAGAUGAGGCAUGAAAGUUUCUGUCUGGCACAAGAUUCUCCAGAGCUCUUUAUGUCACUGGGACCAGCAAUAUUCCAGAGAAUGGGCCCUUUACUCUGGAUCUAGAGUAAGAACAAUCCAGAACAAAGAACCACCUCUAUUCACAACAGACAGAUUCUUCAAAUGAAUGAAAUCAUAUGGCAUUUGUCUUUCCCAGUAUGAAUUAUUUGACUGAGUAUAAUACCCUCUUCAUCCAA